UACGUAGGGUGCGAGCGUUAAUCGGAAUUACUGGGCGUAAAGCGUGCGCAGGCGGUUUGUUAAGACAGAUGUGAAAUCCCCGGGCUUAACCUGGGAACUGCAUUUGUGACUGGCAAGCUAGAGUAUGGCAGAGGGGGGGUAGAAUUCCACGGUGUAGCAGUGAAAUGCGUAGAGAUGUGGAGGAAUACCGAUGGCGAAGGCAGCCCCCUGGGCCAAUACUGACGCUCAUGCACGAAAGCGUGGGGAGCAAACAGG
rnacentral:rRNA from 1 species